UACACUCCUGCGGGAGGCAGCAGUGGGGAAUAUUGGACAAUGGGCGCAAGCCUGAUCCAGCCAUGCCGCGUGAGUGAUGAAGGCCCUAGGGUUGUAAAGCUCUUUCACCGGAGAAGAUAAUGACGGUAUCCGGAGAAGAAGCCCCGGCUAACUUCGUGCCAGCAGCCGCGGUAAUACGAAGGGGGCUAGCGUUGUUCGGAAUUACUGGGCGUAAAGCGCACGUAGGCGGAUCGAUCAGUCAGGGGUGAAAUCCCAGGGCUCAACCCUGGAACUGCCUGUGAUACUGUCGAUCUGGAGUAUGGAAGAGGUGAGUGGAAUUCCGAGUGUAGAGGUGAAAUUCGUAGAUAUUCGGAGGAACACCAGUGGCGAAGGCGGCUCACUGGUCCAUUACUGACGCUGAGGUGCGAAAGCGUGGGGAGCAAACAGGAUUAGAAACCCUAGUAGUCCC
rnacentral:rRNA from 1 species